rnacentral:rRNA from 1 species
UACGUAGGUGGCAAGCGUUGUCCGGAAUUAUUGGGCGUAAAGCGCGCGCAGGCGGUUUCUUAAGUCUGAUGUGAAAGCCCCCGGCUCAACCGGGGAGGGUCAUUGGAAACUGGGAAACUUGAGUGCAGAAGAGAAGGGCGGAAUUCCACGUGUAGCGGUGAAAUGCGUAGAGAUGUGGAGGAACACCAGUGGCGAAGGCGGCUCUUUGGUCUGUAACUGACGCUGAGGCGCGAAAGCGUGGGGAGCAAACAGG